UACGAGGGGGGCAAGCGUUGUUCGGAAUUAUUGGGCGUAAAGAGCUCGUAGGCGGUUUGUUGCGUCGGCUGUGAAAUCCCGAGGCUCAACCUCGGGUCUGCAGUCGAUACGAGCAAACUAGAGUGUUGCAGGGGAGACUGGAAUUCCUGGUGUAGCGGUGAAAUGCGCAGAUAUCAGGAGGAACACCGGUGGCGAAGGCGGGUCUCUGGGCAACAACUGACGCUGAGGAGCGAAAGCGUGGGGAGCGAACAGG
rnacentral:rRNA from 1 species